rnacentral:rRNA from 1 species
GACGAACGCUGGCGGCGUGCCUAACACAUGCAAGUCGAACGAGAAUCUUUGGAAUGAUUCUUUCGGGAUGAAUUCCAAAGAGGAAAGUGGCGGACGGGCGAGUAACGCGUGAGUAACCUGCCCAUAAGAGGGGGAUAAUCCAUGGAAACGUGGACUAAUACCGCAUAUUGUGGUUAAGUUGCAUGACUUGAUUAUGAAAGAUUUAUCGCUUAUGGAUGGACUCGCGUCAGAUUAGAUAGUUGGUGAGGUAACGGCUCACCAAGUCAACGAUCUGUAGCCGAACUGAGAGGUUGAUCGGCCGCAUUGGGACUGAGACACGGCCCAGACUCCUACGGGAGGCAGCAGUGGGGAAUAUUGCGCAAUGGGGGCAACCCUGACGCAGCAACGCCGCGUGCAGGAAGAAGGUCUUCGGAUUGUAAACUGUUGUCGCAAGGGAAGAAGACAGUGACGGUAC